rnacentral:rRNA from 1 species
CGGACGGGUGAGUAAUGUAUGGGGAUCUGCCUGAUGGCGGGGGAUAACUACUGGAAACGGUAGCUAAUACCGCAUAACGUCGCAAGACCAAAGAGGGGGACCUUCGGGCCUCUUGCCAUCGGAUGUGCCCAGAUGGGAUUAGCUAGUAGGUAAGGUAACGGCUUACCUAGGCGACGAUCCCUAGCUGGUCUGAGAGGAUGAUCAGCCACACUGGGACUGAGACACGGCCCAG